UUUUAUGAGAGUUUGAUCCUGGCUCAGGACGAACGCUGGCGGCGUGCCUAAUACAUGCAAGUCGAACGCUUCUUUUUCCACCGGAGCUUGCUCCACCGGAAAAAGAGGAGUGGCGAACGGGUGAGUAACACGUGGGUAACCUGCCCAUCAGAAGGGGAUAACACUUGGAAACAGGUGCUAAUACCGUAUAACAAUCGAAACCGCAUGGUUUUGAUUUGAAAGGCGCUUUCGGGUGUCACUGAUGGAUGGACCCGCGGUGCAUUAGCUAGUUGGUGAGGUAAC
rnacentral:rRNA from 1 species